rnacentral:rRNA from 1 species
UAGGGAAUAUUGCGCAAUGAACGAAAGUUUGACGCAGCGACGCCGCGUGAGUGAUGAAGGUCCUCGGAUCGUAAAGCUCUGUCAAGAGGGAAGAAGUGUUAGUGCUCUAAUAUAGCGCUAAUUUGACGGUACCUCUGAAGGAAGCACCGGCUAACUCCGUGCCAGCAGCCGCGGUAAUACGGAGGGUGCAAGCGUUAAUCGGAAUUACUGGGCGUAAAGCGCGCGUAGGCGGGUUUGCAAGUCAGAAGUGAAAUCCCCGGGCUCAACCUGGGAAUAGCUUUUGAUACUGUGGACCUUGAGUUCGGGAGAGGGUGGCGGAAUUCCAGGUGUAGGAGUGAAAUCCGUAGAUAUCUGGAGGAACAUCAGUGGCGAAGGCGGCCACCUGGCCCGAUACUGACGCUGAGGUGCGAAAGCGUGGGUAGCAAACA